rnacentral:rRNA from 1 species
ACUCGGAUACCGUAGUAACACUAGAGCUAAUACGUGCGUAAAUCCCGACUUUUGGAAGGGACGUAUUUAUUAGAUUUAUGGCCAGCCGGGCUUGCCCGACCAGCGGUGAAUCAUGGUAACUUGACGGAUUGCAUGGCCUCCGUGCCGGCGACGUGUCAUUCAAGUUUCUGCCCCAUCAGGUUUCGACUGUAGUGUAUUGGACUACAGUGCCUAUAACGGGUAGCGGAGGAUUAGGGUUCGAUUCCGGAGAGGGAGCCUGAGAAACGGCUACCACAUCCAAGGAAGGCAGCAGGCGCGCAAAUUACCCAAUCCCAAUUCAGGGAGGUAGUGACAAGAAAUAGCAAUGCGGGGCUUCUUGCUCUGCAAUUGGAAUGAGAACAAUUUAAAUCACUUAACGAGUAUCAAUUGGAGGGCAAGUCUGGUGCCAGCAGCCGCGGUAAUUCCAGCUCCAAUAGCGUAUAUGUAAGUUGUUGCGAUUAAAAAGCCCGUAGCUGAACCUCGGGCAACCCUGACGGUCCGCGUUUCGUGAGUACUGUCGUGGGUUGUCUUUCUGGCAAGACCGUAUCUCGGUGUUAACUCGCCGGGAACGGCGCUUGCCAAGGUUACUUUGAGUAAAAUAGAGUGUUCAAAGCAAGCUCGCGCUCUGAAUACACUAGCAUGGGAUAACACGACAUGACCGAUGGUCUAUCUUGUUGGCCUGUAGACCUGUUGGUAAUGGCUAAUAGGGACGGUCGGGGGCAUUCGUAUUUCGCUGUCAGAGGUGAAAUUCUUGGAUUUGCGAAAUACGAACUACUGCGAAAGCAUUUGCCAAGGACGCUUUCUUUACUCAAGGACGAUAGUCGGGGUAUCGAAGACCAUUAAAUACCCUUCUUAGUCUCGACCAAAAACC